rnacentral:lncRNA from 1 species
GAAUAUUUCGGGUUGGGGAUUCAAGACAAGAGUCUUGUUAUAAAUAGAGUCAUUGGACACAUUUUUAGGGGGGGGAGACUUAGACUAGGACUUGAACUUGAAAGACUUACUUAGAGAGAGAGGAAGACAUUCUGAAAAUCCUAAGAGAGUGUUGGAAAGUUUAAAAAGAGAAAACAAAAACAAAGUGAGAAACGUAUUUAGUUUCGGGUUUUUAAUACACGCGUGGGUUGUUGCUGUUUAGUUUGUUUACAAACUUUUGGGUUUGUUCUAUUGAGUUGUUCAGUUUUUCUUCAAAGUUUUCUGGGCCUUGAAUCUGGGUCAAAUUGCUGAUGUUGGUUUGCUGUUGUGUUGCUGUGUAUUUACACUACUGCUGCUUCUACUGAUCUUCAUCUUCUUUCCUUACUUUCCAAAUACCAGGUACACAAACUGAUAUACUGGUUCAUCUUGUAAGUCACUCGAAGCAUGAAUGCAAAAAUGAGAAAGAUUUGAAGUUGUAGUUUAAUGUAGUCUUUUCUUUCUUUUUUACUGUCUGUAUGUAGAAUAUUCUAUGCGCUGCCCAUACAAACUCUUUAAACGACUCACUUUCGAAAUAGCCUUAGAGUAUCUUUCAGUUGUCGAAAGGCUAUUUUCGUAAAAGAACGGACAAGUUUGUAAAGUGUCAUAAAGUAAUCCUCCCCGACCUCAAAAUUCAUGUGAAAUUUGGAAGGGGCCACAUUUGCAAAAAUAACCGCUUGGUUGCAUUUGUCAAACGGAGAAAGGAAGUUGGCCAUUUGCUUUUGGAGUUUGUAAAUCUUUUGAAAAGAAUAUGUGGGUUGUUUGAUUUUCGAGUUUGUAGGUCAUCUUCAAACCUUGAAACCCAGUUUGUUUUAAUAUGAAAAUUGAAGAAAAAAUUGUUUAGAAUUGUUUAUCUUUUAUUGGUCCGAACUACGCAAGGUCUGAUUCAUGCAGGGUCAUGAUACGUAGGCAAUCUCCAUAAGAUUCGACCACAACAAAAAAAAGAGAAAGAGAAAAAAAUGAAAAAAAAAUCAAAAAAGAAAGAAAGAAAAAUGAAAAAAAAAAGGGAAAAAGAUGUUGUUAAUAAUGAGGACCGACUGAGUCUAUUCUAACCUGUUUUGUUUUGAAUCGCAAGAAAGUUAAGGUGGUUGGUUUGUGGUAAGCCGGAAACACAAGAUCCAGGAGAACCGGAUUGUAAUCCAAGACAAUGACGCCCAGAAUAUCACGCAGAAUUCUUUACAUGCACAUCAUGAUACAUACUUUGCGGGGAUCAGGCCUGAUAACAGAAGCACUCGAAUCCUAUGGGGGACUUGUUGACUGAGGUUGAUGAUAUUGAAGUUGGUAAUAGUCUUGGCAAUAUUGAUACGAAGCUCAGUGGCUAAGAUGCCAGGUUUGAUAAAGUGGGAGGACGCUUCGUUCCUUGGUUAGCAAAAGAGAAGCUUUUGGUGGCUUAUUUUGUUGUCAUUUCUGUUGUCCGGAUUAUUAGGGUUGUAAUUCGGAUAUUGUCUUGUGUCAAACUUUCUUAUCUUUCCAUUUUGUCAUAGCGGUUUGUUUAAAUUUUGUCCAGGUUAUUUUAGGAUUUUAUUCUGGUUUGUUUUUGUUUGUUUUGUUAUUCAAACCAUUUCACCGGUAGUCUAACGCAAAAUCUGG